AUUGAACGCUGGCGGCAGGCUUAACACAUGCAAGUCGAGCGGAGAGAGGUAGCUUGCUACUGAUCUUAGCGGCGGACGGGUGAGUAAUACUUAGGAAUCUGGCUAUUAGUGGGGGACAACAUUUCGAAAGGGAUGCUAAUACCGCAUACGUCCUACGGGAGAAAGCAGGGGAUCUUCGGACCUUGCGCUAAUAGAUGAGCCUAAGUCGGAUUAGCUAGUUGGUGGGGUAAAGGCCUACCAAGGCGACGAUCUGUAGCGGGUCUGAGAGGAUGAUCCGCCACACUGGGACUGAGACACGGCCCAGACUCCUACGGGAGGCAGCAGUGGGGAAUAUUGGACAAUGGGGGGAACCCUGAUCCAGCCAUGCCGUGUGUGUGAAGAAGGCCUUAUGGUUGUAAAGCACUUUAAGCGAGGAGGAGGGUGCUGGUAUUAAUACUACCAGGUACUGGACGUUACUCGCAGAAUAAGCACCGGCUAACUCUGUG
rnacentral:rRNA from 1 species